rnacentral:tRNA from 1 species
GGGCGGUUAGCUCAGUUGGUCAGAGCGCCUCCCUUACAAGGAGGAGGCCACAGGUUCAAGUCCUGUACCGCCCACCU